rnacentral:sRNA from 13 species
GCACUGGCAAAAUCCAGUGCCGAGUUUCGCAGCUCGAAAAUACUCAAGGCGCAUAGACGCCAGCUUCCUGCUGGUUUUUU